GCCCGAGUGACGAAACAGGUAGACGUAAGAGACUUAAAAUCUCUCGGUUCCGUAAGGGCCGUGCCGGUUCGAUUCCGGCCUCGGGCA
rnacentral:tRNA from 1 species